rnacentral:rRNA from 1 species
UAGCCUACGGGAGGCAGCAGUAGGGAAUAUUGCUCAAUGGGGGAAACCCUGAAGCAGCAACGCCGCGUGGAGGAUGAAGGUUUUAGGAUUGUAAACUCCUUUUGUGAGAGAAGAUAAUGACGGUAUCUCACGAAUAAGCACCGGUUAACUCCGUGCCAGCAGCCGCGGUAAUACGGAGGGUGCAAGCGUUACUCGGAAUCACUGGGCGUAAAGAGUGCGCAGGCGGGCUUGUAAGUCAGCUGUGAAAUCCUGUCACUUCACUACAGAACUGCAUUUGAAACUAU